rnacentral:rRNA from 1 species
AACGAACGCUGGCGGCAUGCCUAACACAUGCAAGUCGAACGAGACCUUCGGGUCUAGUGGCGCACGGGUGAGUAACACGUAGGAAACCUUCCCUAGAGAGUGGGAUAACGUUCCGAAAGGGACGCUAAUACCGCAUAAGCCCACGACCGCUUCGGCGGAUGAGGGAAAAGAUGGCCUCGGUAUACACGCUAUCACUUUGGGAUGGUCCUGGGGCGCAUCAGCUAGUUGGUAGGGUAAUGGCCUACCAAGGCGAAGACGCGUAGCUGGUCUGAGAGGAUGAUCAGCCACACUGGCACUGAAACACGGGCCAGACUCCUACGGGAGGCAGCAGUGGGGAAUAUUGGACAAUGGGCGCAAGCCUGAUCCAGCCACGCCGCGUGAGUGAUGAAGGCCUUCGGGUUGUAAAGCUCUGUGGGGAGAGGCGAAAACAGUCAUCAAGAAACGGAUGAUUCUUGACGGUAUCUCCUUAGCAAGCACCGGCUAACUCUGUGCCAGCCGCCGCGGUAAGAC